UUUCGUCGAAUAUAACACUUGGGCUAAGGGUCAAGUUGGUAAUUUUCUUACAUCUCCCCCUCCCAGAGCCCAAGUAUCAUAUACACCUCCGU
rfam:Eucalyptus grandis cultivar BRASTZ1 unplaced genomic scaffold scaffold_5, whole genome shotgun sequence.